rnacentral:rRNA from 1 species
CGCGAAACCUUUACACUUCACGAGAGUGCGAUAAGGGGACUCCCAGUGCGAGGGCAUACAGUCCUCGCUUUUCUGGACCGUAGGGAGGUCCAGGAACAAGUGCUGGGCAAGACCGGUGCCAGCCGCCGCGGUAAUACCGGCAGCACGAGUGAUGGCCGAUAUUAUUGGGCCUAAAGCGUCCGUAGCCGGCCAGACAAGUCCGUUGGGAAAUCCACGUGCUCAACACGUGGGCGUCCAGCGGAAACUGUCUGGCUUGGGGCCGGAAGACCCAAGGGGUACGUCCGGGGUAGGAGUGAAAUCCCGUAAUCCUGGACGGACCGCCGAUGGCGAAAGCACCUUGGGAGGACGGACCCGACGGUGAGGGACGAAAGCCAGGGUCUCGAACCGGAUUAGAUACCCGGGUAGUCCUGGCCGUAAACGAUGUCCGCUAGGUGUGGCGCAGGCUACGAGCCUGCGCUGUGCCGUAGGGAAGCCGUGAAGCGGACCGCCUGGGAAGUACGUCUGCAAAGAUGAAACUUAAAGGAAUUGGCGGGGGAGCACUACAACCGGAGGAGCCUGCGGUUUAAUUGGAAUCA